CUACUUUCCAGUGUACAUAUGAAAAAAUUGGAACGAUACCGAGAAGAUUAGCAUGGCCCCUUGCGCGAGGAUGACACGCACAACCGUGAAGCGCCGUUAGGUUAG